rnacentral:lncRNA from 1 species
GGAUCCCUGAGAGCUUCUCCAGCUCCCUCAGAAAUCCUGGGAAUCCCCACUUGGACACUCCAGUUCUCUCAGGAAUCCUGGGAACCCCAGGAAUCCCCACCUGGACACCCCAAUCCAGGGAAUGUCAGAAAUCCUGGGAAUCCCCACCUGGACACUCCAGCUCCCUCAGGAAUCCCAGGAAUCCCCACCUGGAGCCCCGAGAGCUCCUCCAGCUCCGCGAGCGCCGUGUCCGUGUCCCGGACCAGGAUCGUGGCCAUUCCCAACUCCCGCGCCGGCUCCAGGUUCUCCGGGACCUCAUCCAGCAGGAUGGCCUGGAACGACCGGGAUCAGCCCGGGAAUCCGGGGCCGGAAUGACCCCAACAAUCCCUUGGUUUUUUCGGGAAUUCCGGCGGCACCUCCCGCGGCUCCGCCCGCAGCUCUUCCAGGGCGCGGGAGUAGAUGCCGGGAUCCGGCUGCCCUGUCCCGAUCCGGCAGGAUUCCAGCACCAGGUGGAAGUGCCUCCGCGAAGCAGAUCGCAGGAGCCGGGCCCGGCGGAUCCGGCCCUCGCCGUCGUCCAGCCAGUGGUUGGCCAGGACACAGGUCCGGAAUCCUGGGAAAAGGCCGCGGUUCCCGCUCCGGAUCCGGUUGGAUUUUCCCGCCCGGCUCCCCCAAGUGGGUUUUUUUGGGGAUUCUCAUCCCAAAAUCCCGGGAUUCGGAGGUUCCGUGGGGAUGGGAGGGGGAAAGGGUUGGUGGAGGGGUUGGAAAUUCCGGGUUGGAGCUUCCCGAGGGAAGUGGGAUGGGAGGGGGAGUUUGGGAAUGCUGGGGGAGGGGUGAGUCGGGAAUUCCAAGCUGGAUCCAACCCAGGAAUCCCAAGGUGGACCCAACCAGGGAAUUCCAUGAUGGAACCAACCAGGACCUUCCUUGUGGUGGAUCCAGGGAAUUCCAACCCAGGAAUCCCAAGGUGGACCCAACCAGGGAAUUCCAUGAUGGAACCAACCGGGACCUUCCUUGUGGUGGAUUCAGGGAAUUCCAACCAGGGAAUCCCAAGGUGGGACCAGCCAGGGAAUUCCAUGAUGGAUCCAACCCAGGAAUCCCAAGGUGGAUCCAACCAGGGAAUUCCAUGAUGGGACCAACCAGGACAUUCCUUGUCCUGGAUCCAGGGAAUUCCAACCUGGGA